rnacentral:rRNA from 1 species
GCCCCUACCCGAAACCGACACAGGUGGACUGGUAGAGUAUACCAAGGCGCUUGAGAGAACUAUGUUGAAGGAACUCGGCAAAUUGCACGCGUAACUUCGGAAGAAGCGUGACCCUUUUGUACGCAAGUAUGAUGGGGUGGCACAGACCAGGGGGUAGCGACUGUUUACCAAAAACACAGGUGCAUGCGAAGACGCAAGUCGCUGUAUAUGCACUGACGCCUGCCCGGUGCCGGAAGGUUAAGAGGA